UGAGUACGAGACGCUAAGGCGUUGAAGUAGUGUACGUCAUACUUCCAAGAAAAGCUUGCACUGUCAUAGAUAAAAAAUGCCUGUACCAUAACCGACACAGGUGGGUAGGUAGAGUAUACUAAGGGGCGCGAGAUAACUCUCUCUAAGGAACUCGGCAAAAUAACUCCGUAACUUCGGGAGAAGGAGUGCCUUAUUUUAUAAGGUUGCAAUAACAAGAUCCAAGCAACUGUUUAUCAAAAACACAGGUCUCCGCUAAGUCGUAAGACGAUGUAUGGGGGCUGACGCCUGCCCAGUGCCAGAAGGUUAAAGAAGUCGGUUAGCAUUAGCGAAACUGGUAACUGAAGCCCUGGUGAACGGCGGCCGUAACAAUAACGGUCCUAAGGUAGCGAAAUUCCUUGUCGGGUAAGUUCCGACCCGCACGAAAGGCGUAAUGAUUUGGAUACGGUCUCGGAGAGGGGCUCGGUGAAAUAGACUUGUCUGUGAAGAUGCGGACUACCUGCACCAGGACAGAAAGACCCUAUGAAGCUUUACUGUAACUUGAAAUUGAAAUUGGACUUUAUUCGCGCAGUAUAGGUGGGAGGCGUUGAUUAUAAUCUUGCGGGAUUAUUGGAGCCAUCAGUGAGAUACCACUCUUGUAAUGUUAGAUUUCUAACUUUGAAUCAUUAUCUGGUCAAAGGACAGUUUCAGGCGGGCAGUUUGACUGGGGCGGUCGCCUCCCAAAUGGUAACGGAGGCGUACAAAGGUUUCCUCUGAACGGGUAGAAAUCGUAUCUAGAGUGUAAAGGCAUAAGGAAGCUUGACUGUGAGACCUACAAGUCGAGCAGGGACGAAAGUCGGUCUUAGUGAUCUGACGGUACUGAGUGGAAAGGCCGUCACUCAACGGAUAAAAGUUACUCUAAGGAUAACCGGCUGAUCUCCCCCAAGAGUUCACAUCGACGGGGAGGUUUGGCACCUUGAUGUCGGCUCAUCGCAUCCUGGGGCGGUAGUACGUCCCAAGGGUUGGGCUGUUCGCCCAUGAAAGCGGUACGCGAGCUGGGUUCAGAACGUCGUGAGACAGUUCGGUCCAUAUCCGGUGUAGGCGUUAGAAUAUUGAGAGGAGCCUUCUUUAGUACGAGAGGACCGAGAAGGACAUACCUCUGGUGUACCAGUUAUCGUGCCAACGGUAAACGCUGGGUAGCUAUGUAUGGAGUGGAUAACCGCUGAAAGCAUCUAAGUGGGAAGCCCACCUCAAGAUAAGUAUUCUCAUC
rnacentral:rRNA from 1 species